ACGCCAGCAGGUGAAUUGUUAUGAAAUGCUGUGGAGAAUGUGUGGAAAGUCACCACCAUGUUAAUAUUCAGCUGUGGUCUGACUGCUGAGGUUGUUGGCACGUGCGAUCGUUACCUGGUAACAGGUGUUAUGUGACACACAGUGACACACAAUCCAUGGAGGGAUACUCAAAGGCUGCUUUUUACAGGUCACGGUGACAGAUGAAAACGGAAUAUCUACCACUGGACCACGAUUCACCGCCUCUUGUUGUGUUACCUUUUGAGAGUCCUGGCUUAAAAGUCACAGUCAAUGAUUUGAGGAGUCAAGAUUCCCUCUUUCUCUCUGUGUCCUAUGAGAACAGUAUAUUUUAGUCAUUAUAGCACCAUGACCAAAGGGGAUACUACCACCAACCCUGAAACAGAUAUUACGUGGGAGGUGAGAGCAAACAGCCGCCACUUCCACAAACAUCGACAGCAGAGAUCCUUUCUGUGUUUCCGC